rnacentral:rRNA from 1 species
UACGAGGGGUGCAAGCGUUGCUCGGAAUUAUUGGGCGUAAAGGGUAGGUAGGUGGUCUGAUUUGUCAGGGGUGAAAGCCUUGGGCUUAACCCAAGAAGUGCCCCUGAAACGGUCAGACUGGAGUCUUGGAGAGGGUCGUGGAAUUCCCGGUGUAGCGGUGAAAUGCGUAGAGAUCGGGAGGAACACCAGAGGCGAAGGCGGCGACCUGGACAAGUACUGACACUCAACUACGAAAGCGUGGGUAG